AGAAUCAACGCUGGCGGCGUGCCUCAGACAUGCAAGUCGAACGCGAAAGUCCCCUUCGGGGGACAAGUAGAGUGGCGCACGGGUGAGUAACACGUAGGUAAUCUACCUUCGGAUGGGGAAUAACAACCGGAAACGGUUGCUAAUACCGCAUAAUGCAGCUGCACCUAAUGGUGACAGUUGUUAAAGCGGGGGAUCGAAAGACCUCGCGUCUGAAGAGGAGCCUGCGGCGGAUUAGCUAGUUGGUAAGGUAAUGGCUUACCAAGGCUACGAUCC
rnacentral:rRNA from 1 species